UGGGGAAUAUUGCACAAUGGGCGCAAGCCUGAUGCAGCCAUGCCGCGUGUAUGAAGAAGGCCUUCGGGUUGUAAAGUACUUUCAGCGGGGAGGAAGGGAGUAAAGUUAAUACCUUUGCUCAUUGACGUUACCCGCAGAAGAAGCACCGGCUAACUCCGUGCCAGCAGCCGCGGUAAUACGGAGGGUGCAAGCGUUAAUCGGAAUUACUGGGCGUAAAGGGCACGCAGGCGGUUUGUUAAGUCAGAUGUGAAAUCCCCGGGCUCAACCUAGGAACUGCAACUGAUAAUGGCAAGCUUGAGUGUCGUAGAGGGGAGUAGAAUUCAAGGAGUAGCGGUGAAAUGCGUAGAUAUCUAGAGAAAUACCAGUGGCGAAGGCGGCCCCCUGGACGAAGACUGACGCUCAGAUGCGAAAGCGGGGGGAGCAAACAGG
rnacentral:rRNA from 1 species